UACAGAGGGUGCAAACGUUGUUCGGAAUUACUGGGCGUAAAGCGCGUGUAGGCGGCUAAGUAAGUCGGGCGUGAAAUCCCACGGCUCAACCGUGGAAGUGCACUCGAAACUGCGUAGCUAGAGUCCUGGAGAGGAAGGUGGAAUGCUUGGUGUAGAGGUGAAAUUCGUAGAUAUCAAGCGGAACACCGGUGGCGAAGGCGGCCUUCUGGACAGUGACUGACGCUGAGACGCGAAAGCGUGGGGAGCAAACAGG
rnacentral:rRNA from 1 species